AUACGGGAGGCAGCAGUGAGGAAUUUUCGGCAAUGGGGGCAACCCUGACCGAGCAACGCCGCGUGCAGGAUGAAGCUCUGCGGAGUGUAAACUGCUUUUACCAGGGAAGAGAACGGACGGUACCUGGAGAAUCAGCCCCGGCUAACUACGUGCCAGCAGCCGCGGUAAUACGUAGGGGGCGAGCGUUAUCCGGAUUUAUUGGGCGUAAAGCGCACGCAGGCGGUUCUGCAAGUGUGGUGUAAAAGCUCCUGGCUUAACCAGGAGAGGACUCUACAAACUGCAGGGCUUGAGAGCGAGAGAGGGACACGGAAUUCCGGGUGGAGCAGUGAAAUGCGUAGAUAUCCGGAGGAACACCAAAGGCGAAGGCAGUGUCCUGGCUCGUUUCUGACGCUCAGGUGCGAAAGCCAGGGGAGCGAACGGGAUUAGAUACCCUGGUAGC
rnacentral:rRNA from 1 species